rnacentral:lncRNA from 1 species
AUGGAUAUGCAGAGUCAUACUGUGUCUGAAGCUCUUUCCACAUUCCAUGCAGGUAUGUGGCUUCUCCCCAGUGUGCGUUCUUUGAUGGAUACGCAGAUUUGUAAUCUGAUGGAAGCUCUUUCCACAUUCCAUGCAUUUAUGUUGCUUCUCCGCUGUGUGGGUCUUUUGAUGGGAAUGCAGAUGUCCACUCUGACUGAAGCUCUUUCCACAUUCCAUGCAUUUAUGUGGCUUCUCCCCUGUGUGGGUCCUUUGAUGGAUACGCAGACUCGCACUGUGACUGAAGCUCUUUCCACAUUCCAUGCAUUUAUGUGGCUUCUCCUUUGUAUGGAUCCUUUGAUGGGUAUGCAGACUCGCACUCUGACUGAAGCCCUUUCCACAUUCCAUGCAUUUAUGUGGUUUCUCCCCUGUGUGGGUCCUUUGAUGGGAACGCAAAUUUCCACUCUGACUGAAACUCUUUCCACAAUCCAUGCACUUAUGUGGCUUCUCCCUGGUAUGGGUCCUUUGAUGGGCACGCAGUUGUCCACUGUGGAUGAAGCUCUUUCCACAUUCCAUGCAUGUAUGUGGCUUCACCCCUGUAUGGAUCUUUUGAUGGGUACGCAGACUCUCACGGUGACUGAAGCUCUUUCCACAUUCCAUGCAUGUAUGUGGCCUCUCCCCUGUAUGGAUCCUUUGAUGGGUGUGCAGAUGUCCACUCUGACUGAAGCUCUUUCCACAUUCCAUGCAUGUAUGUGGCUUCUCUCCUGUAUGGGUCCUUUGAUGGUUACGCAGACCCGUACUCUGACUGAAGCCCUUUCCACAUUCUAUGCAUUUAUGUGGCUUCUCCCCUGUGUGGGUCCUUUGAUGGGUAUGGAGAUCUCCACUCUGAUUGAAACUUUUUCCACAUUCCAUGCAUUUAUGUGGUUUCUCCCCGGUAUGGGUCCUCUGAUGGAUAUGCAGAUGUCCACUCUGACUGAAGCUCUUUCCACAUUCCACACAUUUAUGUGGCUUCUCUCCUGUGUGAGUUCGUUGAUGUUGAGUAAGAGAACUCCUCCCGAUGAAACAUUUCCCACAGUCCAUACAAUCGUGUCGCUUCUCCCCUGUGUGUGA